rnacentral:tRNA from 1 species
UGGGGCAUUAGCGCAGUUGGGAGCGCACAACACUGGCAGUGUUGGGGUCACGAGUUCGAGUCUCGUAUGCUCAACCA